AGAAGAAAAAUAAACAUAUCAGCAGCACAUCUCUGCAAGCAGAAAAUAUCUCCAGGGAAGCAAUCAAUCUGAAGCCUUGAUACAGAAGGAGAGCCGGUGGCAUUUAUUUCAUCAAGGCUGGAGGAAGACCUAAAGCCUACCACUGACCCUCUACAUCUUCAUUUCCUCAUCCAUAAGGCUGACUUAAAUGUGAGAAAUCUGAGGCUUAGAUGGAUUGACUAUCUCACCUCAUGUCAUAAGCAUAAUGAAUGGAUUAUUCUGAUUCAAGCCCAGAUCUCUUUGACUCCCAAAACGCAUCUCUUCCAACCACAGGAUUCUGCUGGUUAUACUACUUUUUAAAAUGAAUGCCACCAUUUAUUUUUCUCCUUGCUGCAUCAAAACUCCAGACACACAUUUAACCAACCAUCUACUCACAUCUUUUAUUAUCAAACUACUAGACAAUAUACCAUUUUAAAAGACCAAUUCCUCACUCCACAGUUAAAUAAAAUGUUUCAAAAAACCCAGGAAACAUGGCCAAUGUCUACCCAGAUUCCCACUCCAACUCUGUGCUGUGGUAUGGAGUUAGCAGCCCAGGAGCAGUGCUGAUAUUAGAAGUGGUCACAGAGGCCUUGAAAGGGAAAGCGACUUUAUUAUUAGAUAGCUGGGAUGGAAGACAGACUCUAAUCUGUACCCUUCCUACAUAUGACUGAAGGUGAAGUUCCUAUUGGAGCUCAGUGGGUUAAGAACCUAACAUAGUGUCCAUGAGCAUGUGGGU